GGCAACGGGCCGGGGCAGUGACGUUAUUUCCGGGCUAAUGCCCCUCUCUCACCCGCUUUGCGCGGUCUCUCUGUCUGCGGGGCAACGGGCGGCCGGGGACGUAACGUCAUUUCCGGGAUGAGGCCCCAGCGCCGCGCGGCCUCUCUCUCUCUGUCUCCGGGGCAACGCACGGGCGGGAUGAGCCGUGAGUGACUUGCGGAGACCGCUUGCCGAACUCUUCCCGACUGGGCAAUGAUUUUCCAGUUUCGCUGUAGCUUCAGCAGGGAAAGAGAUCUACUUCUAGCCGGUGGGUGUGGGAGUCAACUCUCACAGUAUGUAAAAUACAGGCUACAGUCUCUCUUUCUCCAUACACAGGUAAUGUUCAAACAGAUAUAUUUAUACUCUAAUAAUCAGAGCCAUAAUGUAACACAAUACCCCAGAGUCCACCAAACCAACUGAAUGGCCAGCAGCUCCCAUUUCCUUCAUUGUACCCAUGCAUGUCACUGACAACCAUGCGGGUCUUUUCAAUUUCUUGGGAAAUAUUGGUAGCAAGGUCAGUGAUAUUAGUGGAUUCAUCAGGGAUUAUAGGCGCAACACUCUCGUCUUAUUAUAGCACAAGUGCCUCCUUGUUGAUCUUUGUAGAUACAUGCAAAACCGGCAAAUUUAAAACUGGCUGUCUUUAUGCAGGGGUAUGGAGAAAAAGGCUCAACAUAGGUCAAGUUACUGUAAAGUUGUCGGUUUCUUAUAAUGACAUGAAUAAAUGAUAGAAUAAUAUUGGUGUCAGGUACUAAAGGAGCAAUAGGGAUCACUAUUUUUUAAUAGCUCUCAAGUCUUAGUUAAAACACCAUUCAUUACGUCUUCCCACUUUCGGGAUUGGCAGAAUAGGAGUAUUAUAGGACUUUGCUUUUCACUAAUACCCGUGUUGUAAUAAAAAUACUAUGACCAUAGCUAUGCCUUCUUCAGCCUCCAGGGCCAGUCAAUAUUGUUUUAAACAUGGCAAGGCAGCACCCUAUUUUAAAGUCACUUUAUAUUCAAGGCCUCAUCCCACAUGAUUCUUAUGCUUUGCCCAUAGUUCAGAGGGUACUUGGACCAGAGCCAUUGGUAACCUUGGCAGAUCCUCAGUAGGCGGCUGUCACUUUUCAUAAAUAGUGUCCCAUUCCUUUCUGACCCUUGUGAUCUGUGACAUUGGCAACUUGAAAACAUGAAUUUUUUGUUUACCCUUCACCAUUUUAUCAUUUUUCCUAUUUCUUUCACUGUUGCUGGAGGUCUAGUAGCUCCAGUUAAGUGUGACUCAGAGGUGGCACCCAUCUCAAAUCGAUCCAUUUGGUUUUCAGAGAGGUGGACCAUUAUUCCUAAUCCCGGGACCUCAAAGAACAAAUAAGUGGUCACUGUUAAUGGUUCAAGUUUAUUCAACCAGGGGGAGACUUGUUCCUAGUAUCCGGGAUCAGGGAGGCACGUAUAUUAUUCCAUGCAAUAUGUUUGCGUAGGUUAAUUGCAGGUUUAAACAAGAUACUGUAAAUACUGGUCAUUUAAAAAAUGUUUUGUAUGGCUUCCAGUCUUGUAAGAGGACGUCCAAGUUCAUACUUCCUUUCUCGAGUUUUCAAUCCUUUUGCAAUAGGUUAGGUGUAUCCAAUGAGGAUUAUUUUCCACCUUCACUGCUGCAGGUGUAGUCCGUAGUUGUUGCAAGGGCUCCGUCCACCGUUCUCCCAAUUUCUUCCCAUCCCAAUUUCUUAUCAGUUCGUGAUCUCCUGGUUGUAAGGAUUCGCUGUUAUGGUUAGUUGAUAGUGGUUUCUGUGGUUCAUUAGUUUCAGUAAGACGGACAAGGUUCAGUUAAUUGCUGUGCAUAUGUAAUUAAUUCAUCACUAAGGUCAUGUCCAGUCUCAGUCAAGACGUUACUU